UACGGAGGGUGCAAGCGUUGUUCGGAAUCACUGGGCGUAAAGCGCGUGUAGGCGGCCUUCUUAGUCUGGUGUGAAAGCCCGGGGCUCACCCCCGGAAGUGCAUUGGAUACUGGAAGGCUGGAGUACCGGAGAGGAGGGUGGAAUUCCUGGUGUAGCGGUGAAAUGCGUAGAUAUCCGGAGGAACACCAGCGGCGAAGGCGGCUUUCUGGUCUGAUACUGACGCUGAGGCGCGAAAGCGUGGGGAGCGAUCCGG
rnacentral:rRNA from 1 species